rnacentral:antisense_RNA from 1 species
ACUGCCUGAUGCUUUUCAAAUGUGUCUGAAUCAGAAUCGAACACCCACUUUAUGCAUAGCUCCCUAAUCAGGAAGUUAUUCUUCCCAUCAAAGCAACUGGAAAAAAAAAAAGAUAAAACAAUGAAGGGAGGAGAAAACACAAAAGUUCAAGAAGAGCAGAAUGUUCCGGCAAGGAGAAAAAGCUGGGAAAAGUCACCAAUGAAUGACAGGGUUCACCACCAUCUUAGGAAUAUCAUGAAUAAAGCGUUAGAUUGGGUGUGCCCUAACUGAUGGUCACAAGCAUGAUACUAAUUAUCAGGGUGAACAAAGCAGGGGAGUAAGAGCAUCAGUAACUGUGAAACUCCAGGAGUUUGUCUUCAUUGUUUCAGUGAUAGAAUAUCUAGCAUUUGUAUUUCGUUCAUCAUACACUUGAGUUAAUAUCUGUGGAAAGGAUAAAUACAUAAGGAAAAGAGAUGCAGGAAACUGCAGAGAUACUGGCCGUUUAUCUGAGAAGUGCCCAAUGAGGCAUCACCGGAUAAGCACACGUCGGGUCAUUCUCCUGCUUCAGUCUGUGGCGCUGACAUUAUCAAUGCUAUGGAUGCCUCAAGGCUCUGAUAAAAAUACCUGGCUUCAGCAAUAAGCAUGCAGUUAUCUCAGUUUAAAGGAAACGUGUUCUGCUCCCUGCUUAGUAAGAAAUGCUGCUUACUUCUCCAGCUUUUGAAGCACAGGUUUUAUGUUUGUUUGUUUGGGAUAGAAUCUCACUCUGUCACCCAGGCCAGAGAGCACUGACAUUGUCAUGGCUCCCUGCACUCUCAAACUCCCAAGCUCAAGCAAUCCUCCCACCUCAGCCUCCCAAGUAGCUGGGACUACAG